CAGUAGCCACGGUAAUACAGAGGGUGCAAGCGUUAAUCGGAAUUACUGGGCGUAAAGCGCGCGUAGGUGGUUUGUUAAGUUGGAUGUGAAAUCCCCGGGCUCAACCUGGGAACUGCAUCCAAAACUGGCAAGCUAGAGUAUGGUAGAGGGUGGUGGAAUUUCCUGUGUAGCGGUGAAAUGCGUAGAUAUAGGAAGGAACACCAGUGGCGAAGGCGACCACCUGGACUGAUACUGACACUGAGGUGCGAAAGCGUGGGGAGCAAACAGGAUUAGAGACCCGCGUAGUCCCUGUCUCUUAUAC
rnacentral:rRNA from 1 species